GGCCGCCUGGCGAAAUGGCAUCGCGUCUGACUACGACCCCGUUUAAUCAGGAGAUUGCAGGUUCGACCCCUGCGGUGGUCA